GGAAUCAGUGACAUUGUUAUUUUAAAAGGGUAAGUUGGAACAGUACAGAGAAGAUUGGCACGGUCCCUGCACCAGGAUGACGCGCACAUCUGUGAAGUUCCUGGUUUUC